GAAAUUUCAGAUGGAGGGAGCAUUUCACAUUGAAGAUUAGUAUAUGAACAAUGAUGGAGAAAUACUGAAAUACUCACAAUGGCGGAUUGGAAUGUGAAGAUGAUAGAGUGACCAAAAAAAAAAAAAACCCAGCAAAAUUGACCUGUUCAAAGAUUGAAACUUUGAAUGCAGUUUGCUGAAUACAGAAAAAAGUGAAAUGGUGAUUUGUGGAUUUGCUGAGUGAAGAAAAAAAAAAAAAGAGUUGAAUCUGAGACAAAAGGGAUCUAUGUAACAUAAUUUGAAUGAGUGAGGAGGGAUAAUACUUCAUCUGUAACUGCUGCAAAAAAGAUCAGGUCACUUCUUUAAUUUUCUUUUUUUCUUCCUGUAACUUUUCUUUAUCUAUUUUCAUGUUUACCUUUUAUCUACUUUUUUAAAAUAAAAACUUUUGAAAAGCUGA